rnacentral:rRNA from 1 species
CCUACGGGUGGCAGCAGUGAGGAAUAUUGGUCAAUGGGCGCAAGCCUGAACCAGCCAAGUCGCGUGAGGGAUGACGGUCCUACGGAUUGUAAACCUCUUUUGUCGGGGAGCAAGGCGCGCCUCGUGAGGCGGGAAGGAGAGUACCCGAAGGAAAAGCAUCGGCUAACUCCGUGCCAGCAGCCGCGGUUAUAGGGAGGAUGCGAGCGUUAUCCGGAUUUAUUGGGUUUAAAGGGUGCGUAGGCGGAAGGUUAAGUCAGCGGUCAAAUGUCGGUGCUCAACACCGGCCUGCCGUUGAAACUGGUCGUCUUGAGUGGGCGAGAAGUAUACGGAAUGCGUGGUGUAGCGGUGAAAUGCAUAGAUAUCACGCAGAACUCCGAUUGCGAAGGCAGCAUACCGGCGCUCAACUGACGCUGAGGCACGAAAGCGUGGGGAUCGAACAGGAUUAGAUACCCUAGUAGUC